CCUACGGGAGGCUGCAGUGGGGAAUAUUGGACAAUGGGCGAAAGCCUGAUCCAGCCAUGCCGCGUGUGUGAAGAAGGCCUUCGGGUUGUAAAGCACUUUCAGUGGGGAAGAAAGCCUUGGGGCUAAUACCCUCGAGGAAGGACUUCACCCACAGAAGAAGCACCGGCUAACUCCGUGCCAGCAGCCGCGGUAAUACGGAGGGUGCGAGCGUUAAUCGGAAUUACUGGGCGUAAAGCGCGCGUAGGCGGUCUGAUAAGCCGGUUGUGAAAGCCCCGGGCUCAACCUGGGAACGGCAUCCGGAACUGUCAGGCUAGAGUGCAGGAGAGGAAGGUAGAAUUCCCGGUGUAGCGGUGAAAUGCGUAGAGAUCGGGAGGAAUACCAGUGGCGAAGGCGGCCUUCUGGACUGACACUGACGCUGAGGUGCGAAAGCGUGGGUAGCAAACAGGAUUAGAUACCCUAGUAGUC
rnacentral:rRNA from 1 species